rnacentral:rRNA from 1 species
UACGUAGGGGCUAGCGUUGUCCGGAAUCAUUGGGCGUAAAGAGCGCGUAGGCGGCUAGAUAAGUCCGGUGUGAAAGUCACAGGCUCAACCUGUGAAUGCCGCUGGAAACUGUCUGGCUAGAGUCCGGAAGGGGCGAGUGGAAUUCCUGGUGUAGCGGUGAAAUGCGCAGAUAUCAGGAGGAACACCAAUGGCGAAGGCAGCUCGCUGGGACGGUACUGACGCUGAGGCGCGAAAGCGUGGGGAGCAAACAGG